CGUGAGAUUUUUACUGAGGGUGAAAGGUGAAAAGAAUUUAGAUUUGUUCUAGUGGAGCUUUUGCUUUACUAAGAAAAGAGAAUUUCUAAAAAAUAAAUUCAAUAGCGCCUACUAUUCCCAUGACGUGUGAGUUUGGGUUGAAGUGUAGGAGAGGCAAUCUUUAUUCAUAAAAGUUGAAAGUGUAAAAACAAAAACAAUUUAUUCAGGCGUAAGCUGCGCGUUUACUGAGUUAGGUAAAACCUUGAGAGUUUGAACAGAAACUCUCAUCUUUCGACCUCUCUAAAACUGGGCGUGUGCUUCAUAUUUCAAUGAAAUCAUGUAGACACAUGAAGCAGCUAAUGGAUGGGGGGGUGCUUUACUUAAGCUUUAUUCUAUUUGAAUAGAGAACAUCUUAUGAGGGGGCUGGAGAGAGACAGGGCAGUGACAGUGUACGGUCAGAUUCUAAGGUUCAACAGAGCGACGAUGACCAAGAUAAAUCGUGUUGUUCUUUCUGUAUAUGCUUCGAGAAUAUUUGCAAGAAGUCGCCACCUUCCACAAACGAGGAACGCAAGAAGGUAAUGGCAAAUCUGGUCGUGAAGUAUCUGAUGGAACGUUACCCAGAGAAGUUCCCACUAUCCGAAAUAAUCAAAGCUCAGUCUGAUGAUUAUGGAAGUGGACAGAGAAGUGGACAGACUUAAUGUCCAAACCAUCAGGAAAAGCAUGAAAUACGCUGUUUUGAAAUAAUCGCUCCACUAACACAAUAUAAUAUUUCAUAGGCAAGUGUCAUAUUUUAUCCCCUGCUUGUCCAGAUCAGUCUUGUAGUGUAGUGUGCAUGCUUCCUAAGUGUUAGCCUAUCUUCAGCGACCAGGUGAACUUUCUUUCAUACUUUCCACAUAAACACUGUAGGAGAACUAUUAGGCCUUUUGCAACAGUUUGUCAAGUGACCUCUUCUUCGUAAAAGUAAUGAUUCAGCCAAUUUCAACAAACAAUUUUUCUAGAAUGAAUGAAUGAAUAAACUUCAAAUAUGUUAUCUUG